UACAGAGGCCACAAGCGUUAAUCGGAAUCACUGGGCUUAAAGGGUGCGUAGGCGGCGCCGCAAGUGCUUUGUGAAAUCCCAUCGCUUAACGAUGGAAUUGCUCGGCAUACUGCGGUGCUUGAGGUCGGUAGAGGUCGUCGGAACAGUAGGUGGAGCGGUGAAAUGCGUAGAUAUCUACUGGAACGCCAAAGGUGAAGACAGGCGACUGGGCCGAUUCUGACGCUGAGGCACGAAAGCGUGGGGAGCGAACGGG
rnacentral:rRNA from 1 species